rnacentral:tRNA from 1 species
GCCAGCGUAGCUUAGUCGGUAAAGCACUCCCAUGGUAAGGGAGAGACCGCCAGUUCGAUUCUGGCCGCUGGCU